rnacentral:rRNA from 1 species
UGCGCCUUGCCAGCCCGCUCAGAAACUCAAAGGAAUUGACGGGGGCCCGCACAAGCGGAGGAGCAUGUGGUUUAAUUCGAUGAUACGCGAGGAACCUUACCUGGGCUCGAACGUAAGAUGACUGUAGGUGAAAGCUUACAUCUCUUCGGAGCAUUUUACGAGGUGCUGCAUGGUUGUCGUCAGCUCGUGCCGUGAGAUGUUGGGUUAAGUCCCGUAACGAGCGCAACCCUUGUCCUUAGUUACCAGCACGUUAUGGUGGGCACUCUAAGGAGACUGCCGGUGACAAACCGGAGGAAGGUGGGGAUGACGUCAAGUCAUCAUGGCCCUUACGGCCUGGGCUACACACGUGCUACAAUGGUCGGUACAAAGGGUUGCCAAGCCGCGAGGUGGAGCUAAUCCCAUAAAACCGAUCGUAGUCCGGAUCGCAGUCUGCAACUCGACUGCGUGAAGUCGGAAUCGCUAGUAAUCGUGAAUCAGAAUGUCACGGUGAAUACGUUCCCGGGCCUU